UACUUUGCACUUAUCAUUACUGAAUUUCAUCUUCUUGAAUUCAAACCAAUUCUCCAAUUUGUCAAGGUUGUUUUGCAUUCUAAUCUGUCCUCCAAAAUGUUUGCAACCUUUCCCAGGGUGGUGUACCCAAGUCAUUAACAAAAAUAUUGAAUAGUACUGAAGCUAUUACUGCCUCUGCAGGACCCCACUAGAUACGCCCUCCCAGACUGACAGUGAACCAUUGAUAACUACUCCUGGCGUACAAUCUUUCAAACAUUUGUGCACCCAUCUUACAGUAAUUUAAUGUAGACCACAUUUCCCUAAUUUGCUUAUGAUGGUCACAUGGGACCAUGUCAAAAGCCUUACGAAAAUCAAGAUAUAUUACAUCUAUUGCUUCCCCCUUAUCCACUGGGUUAGGAACCCCUUCAAAGAACGAAAUUAGGUUGGUUUGGCAUGAUUUAUUCUUGACAACUGCAUGCUGACUAUUCCUUAUCCUAUUAUCUUCCAGGUGCUUACAAACUGAUUGUUUAAUAAUUUCUUCCAGUAUUUUCCAGAUAUGAAAGUUAGGCUGAUUAAUUUAUAAUUCCUCACGUCCUCCUUGUUCCCCAUUUUAAAGAAAGGCAUUAUGUUUGCCUUUCUCCAGUCUUCUGGGACUUCACCCGCCUUCCAGGAGCUCUCAAAGAUAAUUGUUAAGGGUUUUGAGAUUGCUUCAGCUGGUUCCUUAACUACCCUAGGAUGAAUUUCGUCAGGCCCUGCUGACUUGAAUGCAUCUAGUUGUGCUUAAUGUGCAUAAGCCCUGCCAAGUAGUGUCAGGCUAAGUACUGUUAGGCCUCAAACUUCCAGAAGCUGUAAGAAGCGAGUACAGUAGAAUCCUGCAAGCAUAAGCAUAAUCUAUCUAGGAAGCUUUAUAGAUUAAGAAGGAAACUCGGUAAAGGUUGAUACAGACUUGUGGUUACUAUGCUCUGCAACCAGACACCUCUUUUAGCUGAUUUAAGGUUUUUUAAGUCUAGCAAGUUGACCACAACUAGCCACAAAAAGGAAAGAUGAGCUGGUCACAGGUGCACAGUUCAUUAGUUCAAAACAACUGCAAAUGCCACCCUGUAAAAUUUGGCCACCUUGAUUGGUUGACUUGUUCAAAAGCAUGGCCAGCAAAUACUGUAUAAAUAAGAUGCAGAAGUGCAUAUGUCUGUGUGUGUUGUUGACCUAAAAGAUCACUCUUUGUCUUUGUCAGGCUCACAUACACCCCCUGAACCAAAGGGACUUGCGCUUCACUGACUAUCUGUGCCUGGCCAGUGCAGGGAAUGGUCAACUGAAAGUCACUGCUUCCCCGGAUAGAGUCCCACAUGACAUCUGCAAAGAAGAGGGAUGACAAAGAUGAAGAAGGCAAAUAAUCAUAUGGGAAAAAUAAAAAGUGCAUGAUAGGAGUGAGAACAGAGGGUCAAAGAGACAAAAAGUACCAGUCUG